AGAUUGAACGCUGGCGGCAGGCCUAACACAUGCAAGUCGAGCGGUAGAGAGGUGCUUGCAUCUCUUGAGAGCGGCGGACGGGUGAGUAAUGCCUAGGAAUCUGCCUAGUGGUGGGGGAUAACGUUCGGAAACGGACGCUAAUACCGCAUACGUCCUACGGGAGAAAGCGGGGGACCUUCGGGCCUCGCGCCAUUAGAUGAGCCUAGGUCGGAUUAGCUAGUUGGUGAGGUAAUGGCUCACCAAGGCGACGAUCCGUAACUGGUCUGAGAGGAUGAUCAGUCACACUGGAACUGAGACACGGUCCAGACUCCUACGGGA
rnacentral:rRNA from 1 species